GGCGGUAUGGUGUAAUGCCGCACACAAGAUUUUCUUGCAUGGCUGCGAAGUUAGUUAUCUUGAGAUCCUUGUUCGAAUCAAGGCACUGCUA